AUGCAGGCUGCUUGCAAGAAAUUUGAGGCUGACAUCUCCGAUUUAAAGACCCACCUGAAGACGCAAGAAACUGAGACCCGGAAGGCCAACGCCAAAUUUGUAUCCAGUAUUGCUGCGCAAGAGAAGCUGAAAAAGGACUUUGAAGCUGAACGGAAAGCUUGGGCCGAAGAGAAGGCUACUCUGGUGAGCCGGGCCGAACAGGCGGAGAAGGCUCUGACAGAGAAAAACACCGAGCUCUCCGGCUUAAAGCGCCACGUGUCCCAGAUGGUUGCCGCGAUCUUCGGUAAGUCAUGCCACCGGCUCUCGUCAAGUUUAUAA
rnacentral:rRNA from 1 species